AUGCAGCGGGCGCGGCCCGGUGGGCACGGUGCGCGGAGCCGCGCUGGCCACGCUCAAGGUCAGGGCCAUCCAGCCGCACGUCCUGCAGGCGCAUCCCUUGUCUGCGGACUCCGCGCCCGAGGAGCGCCAGACCAUCCUGCAGGCCUCCGAGGCGGCGGCGGCGCUGCGCAGCUCGGGCCGGAAGGGCUUCGGGCCGCGGGCCCCGCGCCGCUGCGGUGCGCGGUCGGGCGGGGCGGCUCCGCCUCUGUCGCUGCUCGGCCGGCCCUCCCGCCCGCACACCUGGCUUCCCCGGGCCCUGGCCGCCGCCUCUGUCCCCCAGGCUGGCCGGCCGGAGACAGGAUCUGGGUGGGGNGCGGCGGCCCGGUCCUCAUUGGUAUUCGGCCGCUCGGAGGCCUGGACGGCUCCGGCGGAGCGUGGGGCGGCUGGGCGGGCUGGGACCGCGGGCGGGAAGGCGGCCGGGAGGCCGGGGCGGAGCUGGCCCGGGCCCCGCAGCUGCGCCAGCCUUCCAGGCGGGCCGGAACCCCGCGCGCCCCGCGAUCUUUCCCGCCUGCCCGGACCCGAUCUUGUAAAGCGAUUAGCACUUUCCUCCCUUGCUCCGCUCCUGCUCGAAGACCUCCGUUUUCCCCUAAACCCAGCCGGGCACUCCUGCUCUCUCGUCCCUGUCACCGGAGGUCCCGGCAGCGGACAUUCUCGUCCCGUCCGCUCCCUGUCCCCCUUCGUACACGGUGGACGUGCCACCCAGUCUCCGUCCCCAAGGGCCUGGGGCCGGGCCUCCGCCUGCCUUUCUCUUCUCCGCGGCAGCGCCAGGCCCGGUGGGGCCGGGAAGGGGCCCCGCGGUCUCCCAGGCAGGUCCGAGUGGGAUGUGCAGAUUCAUUCUCCCGUGGAGAACAGGUGGCCCCGAGAUUAGGCCCUUUUUGUUCUUUGUGUUUUAUUUUGAAACUGUACUUAGAGCUCUUAUAUAAAAAGGGGAGGGGCGGGGAGAGAGCUGUCCCAGUCACCCUUAUGUGCAAAUGUCUUCUUACACCUGUAUCAGAGAGAAACUGGGAGGUGGUGGAAAAGGACACAGAGGAGGAAGGAGUGAGGACGGAGGUGGGGUUGGAGGCCCCCAAACAGCCCACACUAAUGUGCGACUCUCCAGGCCUCUCCUCGAGGUCUGGGCCCCAGGGUCUGCUCUUCACGUGGCCCGGCCUGUUCCGUUGGUCUUAA
rnacentral:lncRNA from 1 species